GCCCUGGACACCAACCACUCCUCCUCCAUGUUCCAGGGGCUUGGGAAGCUCGUUGGGAAACUGCUCCAAGGAGGCUUUGGGACCUGCCAGAGCAGAGGGGAGAUGUGUCCAUGUGUGACCUUCUUGACAGACAUUUUGACCCCAGAAUAGCCUGAUUUGGUGAAAGGAGAGCGCGCAGCAGCCGACAGGGAGAGCUCUCACCACCCCCAGCGAGGCUGAGACUCGCUCUCGGGUUCCUCCCUUCAAGUUUGUCCCACUUUCUGGCCCACUAAAUGUCUGAUUGUCAACAUCAACAGUGAGAACUGCACAGCCUGUUCAGCACAGCUGGGAUGCACAGUGGGUAGAAACCUGGAUAGCUCUGCUGUGAAAACCUGAAACUAUCACCAUUUUUUACAGCCUUGGCCAUUUCACCUUGUAUUUGUUGGUGUCUACUUCUUUUUGUUUGGAAAAUUAUUUUUUUUGUUGUUGCUACUUAGAUAAAGGGAAUAUUUAGCAAAGCUUCUGUUUGGGAAUAGCCUUGAGAUGGAUGAGCAAGCAGUUCAGCUGUAGGUAACCAGGCAGCUGUUGCUGAUGGGAGAUGCACAUACUGGGUCAUUUAGUGAUGCACACACAAACCCACUGAGACUGACUGAGUCUGACUUCCCAACCCUGACAGGUAUUGCUUAGGCAGACUGUGAGAGUCUAGAAGCAAAAUGAGGUAUCUGUGGCCUGACCUUAUGUCCCAUAUUCUGUUAUGAAAGUCUGAAGAGAAACUGUCCCAUAUUCAGUACAGUUACGGUUGAUGUGGCUUGAAGAUAUCUGCAUUUAUGGAAUGAGGCUAUGGGAGAGCAGAGGUUUUUUUGCCAGCAAAUCCCUCCCUCAGCCUUUGAUGGUGGUAAAGGUGAAGGUAGAAGGAGCUUGGCCUUUUGGAAGCGUGCAGGGCAGAUAUGUUUUGGAAAGCUGCUGAAUUUCUGGUAAUUUAUUACUCAUCACAGCUCUUUCUUUAGGAGAUGAAUCAUGAGAGGACACUGUGUGUGCUGCCUGGCUCCCAGCUCCUGAAGCAACACCAAGCCCUGAUCCACAAGUGUUGCUUUCCUCGCUGAGACAACCCCCAACACCCCUCCUUCCUGCUGCACUGCCCUGAGAGAUUUUUUGCGUCAGGGAGGGCGUGAGCUCCACCGUGGGGGACACGAGCUCCGUGUCGGUGUGAGCUGCACCUGGAGGCACAAAUACCUGUUACCUCUCUGAAAUGGGGGGCACACAGGGGGCCCCACACCAGAAUUCCUGCUCUGCCACAGCAGGGAGGACGAGGAUAUUUUUGGGGGUGUUGUCCCCUGGAGCAGGAGGGGAGGCUGCCUUGCACUGGAUUCCUGGUCCUAGGAGACAGCCUGGCAUCUUCUGAGAAGGGGCACAGAGAGCAUGGAAGGAAGAAAAACAGGUCAGUGUUUGGAUAC